rnacentral:rRNA from 1 species
UACGGAGGGUGCAAACGUUGCUCGGAAUCAUUGGGCGUAAAGCGCAACGUAGGCGGUCCUUUAAGUCGGGUGUGAAAGCCCUCGGCUCAACCGAGGAAGUGCAUUCGAAACUGGGGGACUUGAAUACUGGAGAGGAUGGCGGAAUUCCCGGUGUAGAGGUGAAAUUCGUAGAUAUCGGGAGGAACACCAGCGGCGAAGGCGGCCAUCUGGACAGAUAUUGACGCUGAGGUGCGAAAGCGUUGGGGAGCAAACAGG